UCCUUGGUGAUCUAGUGGUUAGGAUUUUGUGCUUUCACUGCUGUGGCCCAGGUUAAAUCCCUGGUCUGGGAA
rnacentral:tRNA from 1 species